rnacentral:lncRNA from 1 species
UCUCCUCUUCAUCCAUGAUGAUGCUGAUGGGAGGAGGAGGAGGAGGAGGAGGAGGAAGAGGAGGAGGAAGAGGAAGAGGAGCCCCCAACGAUGUCUUGAAAGAAUUGGAAGAAUUGGGGCGUCUUCGAGCCGAAGCCAAAAAAAGGGAUCGGGAAAGGGAUCGGAUUGGGGAAAAGGGGGGGAAUUGGCCGAGUUUUCGGCAACUUCGGCAACAGCAGAGUUUGGAACAUCGACUUUUGGAAAGACGUUACCAAGAGUUGGCCGAAAGUCGGCGACAAGCGGUGGCCGCUCGGAAAGCGGCGGCCGAAGAAGAACGUUUGGCCGAUUUGGCAUCCGAUCUUCUCCUUCGUUAUCUUCUCCGUGGACCCGGAGGGGCCGUUGCCGAAGAUAAACGAUCGGAAGAAGAAGAGGAAGAGGAGGAAGAAGAAGAAGAGGAGGAGGAGGAAGGAGAAGAAGAUGAUGGGAUCCCAACGGACGUAGAAGAUGGGUUGGAGGUCACCGGUGGGUUGGAUGGAGAUGGGAUGGAGGGUGAGGAAGGGUUUGGAGGAGAGGAAGGUUUGGAGGACAGCAGGGGGUUGAAGGGCAACGGGGGCUUGAGGGUCAACGGUGGCUUCAAAGGCAACAACGGCUUCAAGGGCAACGAUGGCUUCAAGGUCAAUGAUGCCUUCAAGGUCAACAAUGCCUUCAAGGUCAACGAUGGCUUCAAGGGCAACGAUGGCUUCAAGCUCAAUGAUGCCUUCAAGGUCAACGAUGGCUUCAAGGUCAACGAUGCCUUCAAGGUCAACGAUGGCUUCAAGGUCAACAGGGGCUUCAAAGUCAACGACGGCUUUGGAGGCAACGGAGGUUUGGAGGACACCAGGAGUUUGAAGGUCAACGGGGGCUUCAAGGUCGACGAUGGCUUUGGAGGCAACCGGGCCUUGAAGGUCAACAAAGGCUUGAAGGUCAACGAUGGCUUCAAGGUCAACGGGGGGUUUGAAGACAACGGGGGCUUCAAGGUCAACAGGGGCUUUAAGGUCAACGAUGGCUUUGAAGACAACGAGGGGUUUGAAGGCAACGGGGGCUUGGAAGACAACGAGAUCCUUCCGCGGGGCAACGAGAUCCUUCCGCUGGGCAACGAGAUCCUUCCGCGGGGCAACGAGAUCCUUCCGCGGGGUAACGAGAUCCUUCCGCGAGGCAACGAAGUUCUACCAAGAGGCAACGAGAUGUUUCCAAGAGGCAACGAGAUGUUUCCAAGGGGCAACGAGAUCCUUCCGCGGGGCAACCAAAUGUCAGGGGGUGACAACGAAAUUCCGGAAGGUUCCGAGGAGGUUUCUCCUCAGGAUCCGGCCGAGGUGGACGACCUGGAUCCCAGUACCAUCGACCAGUUAAUCGAGCUUUCCAGUAAACUCCACUUACCGGCCGACGACGUGGUGGACAUCAUCCACGACGUUGAGCAGAAAAGAAAGAUGGAGGCCACCGUGGGGGCCCCCCCUCGUCUCAUCCGACCCCCCCAACCCCAAAAUCCUCCCAAACCAUUCCCAGUUGCCCAAAAGUUUUCGGCUCGGACUUUCCUGCCCCUCCCCCGCCGCCCCCCUCCCCCGUUAAGGGAUCGGGAGCUGCA